UCAGCCGCCGCGGUAACACCGGCGGCCCGAGUGGUGAUCGUGAUUAUUGGGUCUAAAGGGUCCGUAGCCGGUUUGGUCAGUCCUCCGGGAAAUCUGAUAGCUCAACUAUUAGGCGUUUCGGGGGAGUACUGCCAGACUUGGGAACCGGGAGAGGUAAGAGGUACUACAGGGGUAGGAGUGAAAUCUUGUAAUCCCUGUGGGACCACCUGUGGCGAAGGCGUCUUACCAGAACGGGUUCGACGGUGAGGGACGAAAGCGUGGGGGCACGAACCGGAUUAGAUACCCGGGUGGUCCCAGCCGUAAACGAUGCUCGCUAGGUGUCAGGCAUGGCGCGACCGUGUCUGGUGCCGCAGGGAAGCCGUGAAGCGAGCCACCUGGGAAGUACGGCCGCAAGGCUGAAACUUAAAGGAAUUGGGCGGGGGAGCACAACAACGGGUGGAGCCCUGCGGUUUAAUUGGACUCAACGCCGGACAACUCACCGGGGGCGACAGCAAUAUGUAGGCCAAGCUGAAGACUUUGCCUGAAUCGCUGAGAGGUGGUGCAUGG
rnacentral:rRNA from 1 species